rnacentral:snoRNA from 1 species
GGGGUGAGAUCAGAAUAGGGGCCAAAAGAAUAGAAAUUUUGUUUACACCACACCCAAUAGGAAUCUGGAGCCCUUGAGAUGAGAGGGAUAAAAUGAGUGGUCUCCCCAAGAACAAACACCCUGCCUGU